GGUAAAAUGGCUGAGUUAUAGGCGAUAAAUUGUAAAUUUAUUUAGGGGAUUUAUCUCUUUUAUCA
rnacentral:tRNA from 1 species